AUUCCUACGGGAGGCAGCAGUGCGGAAUUUUAGAUAAUGGAGGAAACUCUGAUGCAGCGACGCCGCGUGAAUGAUGAAGGCCUUCGGGUCGUAAAGUUCUGUCCUUGGGGAAGAUAAUGACGGUACCCAAGGAGGAAGCCCCGGCUAACUACGUGCCAGCAGCCGCGGUAAUACGUAGGGGGCGAGCGUUGUCCGGAAUUAUUGGGCGUAAAGGGUUCGCAGGCGGUCUGAUAAGUCAGAUGUGAAAGGCUAUGGCUUAACCAUAGUAAGCAUUUGAAACUGUCAGACUUGAGUUAAGGAGAGGAAAGUGGAAUUCCUAGUGUAGCGGUGAAAUGCGUAGAUAUUAGGAGGAGUACCAGUGGCGAAGGCGACUUUCUGGACUUAAACUGACGCUGAGGAACGAAAGCGUGGGGAGCAAACAGGAUUAGAUACCCUGGUAGUCCACGCCGUAAACGAUGAGUGCUAGGUGUUGGGGGUCAAACCUCGGUGCCGCAGCUAACGCAUUAAGCACUCCGCCUGGGGAGUACGUACGCAAGUAUGAAACUCAAAUGAAUUGACGGAAU
rnacentral:rRNA from 1 species